CCUACGGGUGGCAGCAGUCGAGAAUCAUUCACAAUGGGGGAAACCCUGAUGGUGCGACGCCGCGUGGGGGAAUGAAGGUCUUCGGAUUGUAAACCCCUGUCAUGUGGGAGCAAAUUAAAAAGAUAGUACCACAAGAGGAAGAGACGGCUAACUCUGUGCCAGCAGCCGCGGUAAUACAGAGGUCUCAAGCGUUGUUCGGAAUCACUGGGCGUAAAGCGUGCGUAGGCUGUUUAGUAAGUCGUGUGUGAAAGGCGCGGGCUCAACCCGCGGACGGCACAUGAUACUGCGAGACUAGAGUAGUGGAGGGGGAGCCGGAAUUCGCGGUGUAGCAGUGAAAUGCGUAGAUAUCGAGAAGAACACUCGUGGCGAAGGCGGGUUCCUGGACAUUAACUGACGCUGAGGCACGAAGGCCAGGGGAGCGAAAGGGAUUAGAUACCCGAGUAGUC
rnacentral:rRNA from 1 species